GACGAACGCUGGCGGCGUGCUUAACACAUGCCAGUCGAACGGAAAGGCCCUGCUUUUGUGGGGUGCUCGAGUGGCGAACGGGUGAGUAACACGUGAGUAACCUGCCCUUGACUUUGGGAUAACUUCAGGAAACUGGGGCUAAUACCGGAUAGGAGCUCCUGCUGCAUGGUGGGGGUUGGAAAGUUUCGGCGGUUGGGGAUGGACUCGCGGCUUAUCAGCUUGUUGGUGGGGUAGUGGCUUACCAAGGCUUUGACGGGUAGCCGGCCUGAGAGGGUGACCGGCCACAUUGGGACUGAGAUACGGCCCAGACUCCUACGGGAGGCAGCAGUGGGGAAUAUUGCACAAUGGGCGGAAGCCUGAUGCAGCAACGCCGCGUGCGGGAUGACGGCCUACGGGUUGUAAACCGCUUUCGCCUGUGACGAAGCGUGAGUGACGGUAAUGGGUAAAGAAGCACCGGCUAACUACGUG
rnacentral:rRNA from 1 species